rnacentral:rRNA from 1 species
GACAGAGGGUGCAAACGUUGUUCGGAAUUACUGGGCGUAAAGCGCGUGUAGGCGGCUCGGAAAGUCGGGUGUGAAAGCCCCUGGGCUCAACCUAGGAAGUGCACUCGAAACUUCCGAGCUGGAGUUCUGGAGAGGAAGGCGGAAUUCUCGGUGUAGAGGUGAAAUUCGUAGAUAUCGAGAGGAGCACCGGUGGCGAAGGCGGCCUUCUGGACAGCAACUGACGCUGAGACGCGAAAGCGUGGGGAGCAAACAGG